UAUUUUUUUUUUUUUUUUUUUUUUUUUUUUUUUUUUUUUUUUUUUUUUUAUUAUAGUAUUUUUUUUUUUUUUUUUUUUAUAAAAUAUUAAAUGUUGAUGAAGUGAGAUGAGAAUGAAUGAUUUUUUAUCACCACGAGUAACAACACAAACAAAGUAAGAAAAACUUGAGGUAGGUGUAUUAUACAAAUAUUGUUAUUUUUUAACGUCUUGACAAAUUUUUCUAAUUAUAUAUUUAUCUGCUGGCUAUCUAUAGCCCUUUGUAUAUAAUAAUUAUAAUUAAUAUCAAAAUGUAUCAGUAAG
rnacentral:misc_RNA from 1 species